GCCAUAUCAUGUUGAAACACCGGUUCUCAUAUGACCACCAAAGUUAAGCAACAUUGAACCUGGUCAGUACCUAGAUGGGUGACUGCUUGGGAAUAUCAGGUGCUGUAAG